CUCUCAGCUGUUGGUUUGAGAACUAGAGGAUGCUAUGAUUUAAACAUAGUUAAACCGGUACGAUGUCAGCUAGCUUCAUACUACCAGAUUGUCACUUUGAUUAUUCCAGGCAGCAAUUAACUAGUAAUAUCCGACUUAUACGGUAUCCUACCUUUUCCGUAAUUAGAAGUUGCCGAAACCUUUUCCUAUCCCACUCCCACCCCAAAUCCAUGAUGGCCGACAUCUGUCCACUGACCAAUAAGGAUUGAAGGAAAAAAAAGAGGAUAGGUAAACAAAGGGAAGAAAAAAAGAAGAGUAAAGUUUAAACACAAAACACCUCCAUUACAUUAGUUAGUUUUGCAUGGCGAAUUGGCAAUCAAAGAACUAGAACUAAAAAUUAUUGCUUUACUUUAUUUACAUUGAACGCCUUUUUUCAGACACGAGACGACUGUUGGUUUAGUGUAAUGAUGUUUUAUAUCGAGUUACUUAAAAAAGAAAAAGUGAAUGAAAAUGCUUUAAAUUUCUUUUGAACUUGUUAGAAAUCUGUUCCUUCACUCAUUUUGCAGAAUUAGUUGUCUAGAAAAUGACUGAUGUGAUGCCCUAUCAUUUUUAAUUAAUGUAUUUUAGUAUUUGUCUCACACAUUGUGUCUUGCAUGUUUCGUUGAUGUAGUUCAGGAUGACAGUUAAUUACAUUAAAUUGGACUGCAUCUACAAAGACAACACUUGAGAUCAGCCACAACAAGAAACAACCAGUAAUUAUUAAACUUCUCUGCAAACUUUUGUUUUUAAUUUAUAGGGAAAUUCAAAUUGGUUUGAUUUCGUCCAACAGUCCUAGUUGGCUUUCUCCUCCCAUCUUCUCUGUCGAAUGUUGCAUCACAUGAAACACAACCUCACUGUAUGAGAGUGAUUGUCACUUAUUGAGUGACAUUGUUUAAUGUUAAACCUACAAUGGGUUUGAUGAGAUAACCACUCAAAACGACAGGAAUCGUUAUCGGCCAAGGUUUUCGUGAUGCUCUUCCCCUUGCUUCCGUUGUUAUGUGAAAAUCGCAACCGGGAGUUACAAAACGGUUUGCGGGCCAAGUCCAACAAAGACACCGAAGCUGAAGUUAGUGAUCCUCGCCUUCAUUUGCGGACAACUGCUGGGUCUGCUUAGCCUCUACUCUCUGCAGCAAUGAGCCAAACGUCGCCCUCGCCAACCAAACGUAGAAAGAAUAUUGCCUAAAACUCUUGUCAUGGAAUCUGGAACUGCAUCGAAUGGGCUGGACAUCCCCAGGAGGCCACAAUAUUGAACACGACAGAGUUCGACGAUCGAAAAAAGUGGCAGUUUCAUUUCUUCUUCCCUAUUCACGAGGGCGUCCUUUUUCCCACCUGGUGUCAACUAGCUUUAAUAGUUUCUCAGUGGAUUGGAACACCAGGAGACUCCCGGCGGUAUUUCUCAGGCUUCAAGGUAGGACACAGUUAUUUACAUUGAAACUAUUUGCUGGUCACCAAACGAUAAAAGACUGCAUUCAUAGCGAAAAUUCAGACUAUUUCUAAUAGGAAUUUGUUGAGACUUGCGUUAAGCGACGCUCCUGUCGACAGUGAAAGACAAUUGCCGACCACAUUUGAUACUCGUUUACCGAAUUGGCGGUCAUUUGAAAUCUGAUGUGUGAAGUGAUUCCUUUCAUUGUCUUUAUUGUAGGUAAUAAGACGUUGCCGGUAGCGAAUUGGUUUUUGCAUAAUCUUUUGUUGAGGACGUCUAUGGAAGAACGUCGUGCGAAAUGCCAGAGUCCCUUUCGUAUACUUUGAAAAAUAUUCCAUGCACUGUCGGUUCCACUGAACUGCGCACAAGUUUUUAAGAUCCUAGGAAAGUUUCAGCUAUGAGUCUAUGGCCAACAAAGUAAUAGAAACAAGAGGCAUUUUGCUAACGAAAUUUUGAAUCGUUUGUUUUGAAUGUCGCCUUGAAUUAUGGAUUCAUAUCCAGGUGCCCCCUGUGUUAAUGCAAUGGAUACUUGGGCAACUUUCGAUGGUCACUCGUGUGUAAUGAUAAUCAAAUUUGGGCGGUCUUCAAACGAGGUGGGAGUUAUUCCCAGUUUUGUCUAUUUCCUCUGGAUAAUUGGCCUAGUGUCUGUGACAGAAACAUCGAUGUUUAUUACGAUACGGUGUAAUCGCUUACUAAUCCAGAGCAAAAAUCCGCAAAAAGCCUAUGUUCAAAAUGCGCCAAGUUUAUUUGUUAUUUUUGCCCCUCCCAACAAAAAUAAUUUUUUU
rnacentral:lncRNA from 1 species